GCUGGCGGCGUGCCUAAUACAUGCAAGUCGAGCGGACAGAUGGGAGCUUGCUCCCUGAUGUUAGCGGCGGACGGGUGAGUAACACGUGGGUAACCUGCCUGUAAGACUGGGAUAACUCCGGGAAACCGGGGCUAAUACCGGAUGCUUGUUUGAACCGCAUGGUUCAAACAUAAAAGGUGGCUUCGGCUACCACUUACAGAUGGACCCGCGGCGCAUUAGCUAGUUGGUGAGGUAAUGGCUCACCAAGGCAACGAUGCGUAGCCGACCUGAGAGGGUGAUCGGCCACACUGGGACUGAGACACGGCCCAGACUCCUACGGGAGGCAGCAGUAGGGAAUCUUCCGCAAUGGACGAAAGUCUGACGGAGCAACGCCGCGUGAGUGAUGAAGGUUUUCGGAUCGUAAAGCUCUGUUGUUAGGGAAGAACAAGUGCCGUUCGAAUAGGGCGGCACCUUGACGGUACCUAACCAGAAAGCCACGGCUAACUACGUGCCAGCAGCCGCGGUAAUACGUAGGUGGCAAGCGUUGUCCGGAAUUAUUGGGCGUAAAGGGCUCGCAGGCGGUUUCUUAAGUCUGAUGUGAAAGCCCCCGGCUCAACCGGGGAGGGUCAUUGGAAACUGGGGAACUUGAGUGCAGAAGAGGAGAGUGGAAUUCCACGUGUAGCGGUGAAAUGCGUAGAGAUGUGGAGGAACACCAGUGGCGAAGGCGACUCUCUGGUCUGUAACUGACGCUGAGGAGCGAAAGCGUGGGGAGCGAACAGGAUUAGAUACCCUGGUAGUCCACGCCGUAAACGAUGAGUGCUAAGUGUUAGGGGGUUUCCGCCCCUUAGUGCUGCAGCUAACGCAUUAAGCACUCCGCCUGGGGAGUACGGUCGCAAGACUGAAACUCAAAGGAAUUGACGGGGGCCCGCACAAGCGGUGGAGCAUGUGGUUUAAUUCGAAGCAACGCGAAGAACCUUACCAGGUCUUGACAUCCUCUGACAAUCCUAGAGAUAGGACGUCCCCUUCGGGGGCAGAGUGACAGGUGGUGCAUGGUUGUCGUCAGCUCGUGUCGUGAGAUGUUGGGUUAAGUCCCGCAACGAGCGCAACCCUUGAUCUUAGUUGCCAGCAUUCAGUUGGGCACUCUAAGGUGACUGCCGGUGACAAACCGGAGGAAGGUGGGGAUGACGUCAAAUCAUCAUGCCCCUUAUGACCUGGGCUACACACGUGCUACAAUGGACAGAACAAAGGGCAGCGAAACCGCGAGGUUAA
rnacentral:rRNA from 1 species